rnacentral:rRNA from 1 species
AAUCAACGCUGGGCGGCGUGCCUAACACAUGCAAGUCGAACGAGAAAGUGGAGCAAUCCAUGAGUAAAGUGGCGCACGGGUGAGUAACACGUGACUAACCUACCCUUGAGUGGGGGAUAACCUAGGGAAACCUGGGCUAAUACCGCAUAAUACCUACGGGUCAAAGGAGCAAAUUCGCUUUAGGAGGGGGUCGCGGCAGACUAGUUAGUUGGCGGGGUAAUGGCCCACCAAGACGAUGAUCNGUAUCCGGCCUGAGAGGGCGCACGGACACACUGAACUGAAACACGGUCCAGACUCCUACGGGAGGCAGCAGUGGGGAAUUUUGCGCAAUGGGGGAAACCCUGACGCAGCAACGCCGCGUGGAGGAUGAAGACCCUUGGGUCGUAAACUCCUUUCGAUCGGGACGAUAAUGAGGUACCGGAAGAAGAAGCCCCGGCUAACUUCGUGCCAGCCGCCGCCGUAAC